rnacentral:lncRNA from 1 species
UGGGAAGCUUCGUCCUCAACUCUUUUAACAUAACAAAUUACUUCGUUGCUGCAAAUUUUGUCUAAAGUUGAAUAUGGAUCAACCCUUUCGGAUGCAACUAGUCAUUUUCCGAAUGCCUCCUAAAAUAACACAAUAGGGAUAAGUGACUGCCUUGGGAUUUUGCAAAAAGUUACUACUGGGCAUUAAUCAAUGGCUAAAAUGGCCAGAAAGUAAUAUGGUAAAAAGACACAGUAUAAUGAAAACAACAGGAGGAUAAUUGAAUUCUUAAAAUCUAAAGGAGAAGAGGCAAAGCAUGUGUUUAUUGAACUAGGUAAGUGACUUCAAAUGAUAAAUGGAUAAUGUUUAGACUUCGAAUCGAUGGAGAAUUAGAAUAUGUGAAGCUAACACUUUAAUGGCCAAGAACUCCUAAGCUGUUGUUGGUUUUCCCUUUUGUGUUUACUCCUUUUUCAAACAAAAUAUACAGUACACAGUACUUACAUGAAUGAAGUGAAUGAUAAAUUUUCUUUGUUAAGUAGCAAUUAAGUCUCUUUGAUUAAGUUCUUUUCUCACUGUUGCUGUAAUAGUUACUUCAUCCAAAUAAGGUCAAAGUUGGGUUGUGUUUCUUAUAUCCAAACUAAUGUUUUCAUUGAUUUCUGAUCUAGGGUGUAAAUGUAGGGUCACAUAUCUCAACCUCCAUACUUGUAGGCAGUUUUAUAGAAGAAAUACUCUUUCUAUCUUACCCCCGUUCUGAUAAGUGUUUCUGCUCUAUCUUUCAGACAGGAAGUCCUCGAUAUCUUGAAAUUCCACUCACAUCUUCUUAUCUCCGUCCCCUCAGUUUUGGGUGUUGGUGAUCCGGUAAAUUUACUCAGUAUUAAGCUGCUGUUAUAGUAAGCAAUAUGACAAACAUAGGUCGUGCUAAUUGUAGAGACCUUCCAUGUGAACAUGUUUAUUGAUGAUGUUAAUUGUAGACGUUCCUAACGACUUUUCUUUGUCACGAUAUGGAAAUGAACUAUGAUAAAAAAGAAUAGAAGAUAAUUUUGUUUCUUCUUAUUGUUAAUCUUAAAAUUCUUUUGUGUUUCUUUAGGUGUUAGAAUUCUUCUUCUUAGCUACGUUUUGCUAUAAUGCUCAAUAGUUAGCAAUAUCAUUUAUUUGAAGAUUGUUUACUUUUGAAUCUAAAAAAUAAGGUAAAGUCAUGCACCGAAGCCAUAAAACUUACUUUCUCUGUAACUGUAGAAUCUGGAAUGGAGCUGUAUGAUAUCAUGAAAAACUGUAGGAGAAGUUUUUUAACUUACCUUUCC